GACGAACGCUGGCGGCAGGCCUAACACAUGCAAGUCGAGCGAGCGGCGGACGGGUGAGUAAUGUCUGGGAAACUGCCUGAUGGAGGGGGAUAACUACUGGAAACGGUAGCUAAUACCGCAUACCAUCAGAUGUGCCCAGAUGGGAUUAGCUAGUAGGUAAGGUAAUGGCUUACCUAGGCGACGAUCCCUAGCUGGUCUGAGAGGAUGAUCAGCCACACGGGAACUGAGACACGGCCCAGACUCCUACGGGAGGCAGCAGUGGGGAAUAUUGCACAAUGGGCGCAAGCCUGAUGCAGCCAUGCCGCGUGUGUGAAGAAGGCCUUCGGGUUGUAAAGUACUUUCAGCGGGGAGGCGUUACCCGCAGAAGAAGCACCGGCUAACUCCGUGCCAGCAGCCGCGGUAAUAC
rnacentral:rRNA from 1 species